rnacentral:rRNA from 1 species
AUUGAACGCUGGCGGCAGGCUUAACACAUGCAAGUCGAACGAGUGGCGGACGGGUGAGUAAUGUAUGGGGAUCUGCCUGAUGGAGGGGGAUAACUACUGGAAACGGUAGCUAAUACCGCAUACUAUAGGAUGAGCCCAAGUGGGAUUAGGUAGUUGGUGAGGUAAAGGCUCACCAAGCCGACGAUCUCUAGCUGGUCUGAGAGGAUGACCAGCCACACGUGGACGGAGACACGGCCCAGACUCCUACGGGAGGCAGAAGUGGGGAAUAUUGCGCAAUGGGGGAAACCUGACGCAGCCAUGCCGCGUGAAUGAAGAAGGCCUUCGGGUUGUAAAGUUCUUUCGGUAGCGAGGCGUUAACUACAGAAGAAGCACCGGCUAACUCCGUGCCAGCAGCCGCGGUAAUAC